rnacentral:rRNA from 1 species
GAUGAACGCUAGCUACAGGCUUAACACAUGCAAGUCGAGGGGAAACGGCAUUUAGUGCUUGCACUGAAUGGACGUCGACCGGCGCACGGGUGAGUAACGCGUAUCCAACCUUCCCAUUACUGUGGGAUAACCUGCCGAAAGGCAGACUAAUACCGCAUGGUCUUCGAUGACGGCAUCAGAUUUGAAGUAAAGAUUUAUCGGUAAUGGAUGGGGAUGCGUCUGAUUAGCUUGUUGGCGGGGUAACGGCCCACCAAGGCGACGAUCAGUAGGGGUUCUGAGAGGAAGGUCCCCCACAUUGGAACUGAGACACGGUCCAAACUCCUACGGGAGGCAGCAGUGAGGAAUAUUGGUCAAUGGGCGAGAGCCUGAACCAGCCAAGUAGCGUGCAGGAUGACGGCCCUAUGGGUUGUAAACUGCUUUUGUAUGGGGAUAAAGUCAAUCACGUGUGAUUGUUUGCAGGUACCAUACGAAUAAGGACCGGCUAAUUCCGUGCCAGCAGCCGCGGUAAUACGGAAGGUCCGGGCGUUAUCCGGAUUUAUUGGGUUUAAAGGGAGCGUAGGCCGGAGAUUAAGUGUGUUGUGAAAUGUAGACGCUCAACGUCUGACUUGCAGCGCAUACUGGUUUCCUUGAGUACGCACAACGUUGGCGGAAUUCGUCGUGUAGCGGUGAAAUGCUUAGAUAUGACGAAGAACUCCGAUUGCGAAGGCAGCUGACGGGAGCGCAACUGACGCUUAAGCUCGAAGGUGCGGGUAUCGAACAGG